rnacentral:rRNA from 1 species
GAUGAACGCUGGCGGCGUGCCUAAUACAUGCAAGUCGAGCGAACGGACGAGAAGCUUGCUUCUCUGAUGUUAGCGGCGGACGGGUGAGUAACACGUGGAUAACCUACUUAUAAGACUGGGAUAACUUCGGGAAACCGGAGCUAAUACCGGAUAAUAUUUUGAACCGCAUGGUUCAAAAGUGAAAGACGGUCUUGCUGUCACUUAUAGAUGGAUCCGCGCUGCAUUAGCUAGUUGGUAAGGUAACGGCUUACCAAGGCAACGAUGCAUAGCCGACCUGAGAGGGUGAUCGGCCACACUGGAGCUGAGACACGGUCCAGACUCCUACGGGAGACAGCAGUAGGGAAUCUUCCGCAAUAGGCGAAAGCCUGACGGAGCAACGCCGCGUGAGUGAUGAAGGUCUUCGGAUCGUAAAACUCUGUUAUUAGGGAAGAACGUAUGUGUAAGUAACUGUGCACAUCUUGACGGUACCUAGUCAGAAAGCCACGGCUAACUACGUG